UACGUAGGGUGCAAGCAUUAAUCGGAAUUAUUGGGCGUAAAGGGCGCGUAGGCGGAUUGAUAAGUCAGAUGUGAAAUACCAAGGCUCAACCUUGGUGCUGCAUUUGAAACUAUUUUUCUAGAGGAUUGACGGAGAAAGGGGAAUUCCACGGGUAGCGGUGAAAUGCGUAGAUACGUGGAGGAACACCGGUGGCGAAAGCGCCUUUCUAGUUUUUACCUGACGCUGAGGCGCGAGAGCAAGGGGAGCAAACAGG
rnacentral:rRNA from 1 species